CUUAAGCCAUCCCUGACACAGUGUCGUGUAGAUUUUGUUCUGCUCGGUACAGUUGUUUGACAGCUGAACUCAGGAAGAAACUGCAGAUACACCGAGGACAGCACACAGGGUUAUCACAGAAGACCACCUGGACAUGGAUCACCUGUUUGUGCUGCUGCUGCUGUGCAUCUCUGAACUCCACGCUGAAGGAGAACUAACAGAGUCUGUCAGGUUGGUGGGAGGAGACAUUCGCUGUGCAGGAACACUGGAGGUGAAACAUCUGGGAGAAUGGAGACCAGUGGAGGGUCACAGUGCCUGGACCCUGAAGACAGUAGAUUUUGUUUGCAGAAAGUUGGCCUGUGGCUCUGCUGUUUCUGUAGGAGAGAGAGAAGAGUCCUCACGCAGAUCUGUGUGGAGGAUCCCAUAUGAAUGUGUUCCGAAUGCAUCUGAUCUGGGGAAGUGUGCAUCAUCAAUUUCCCAUUCCACCCUCCUGACUCUCAACUGCUCAGACUCUGUCAGGCUGGUGAAUGGGACCAGUCUGUGCUCAGGCAGACUGGAGGUGAAUACUAACCAGUCUACCCAGCGCUGGUCCUCAGUGUGUGAAGAUGACUUUGACCAGCAGGAUGCAGAGGUGGUCUGUAGGGAGCUUGGCUGUGGGCCUCCUUCAGUCCUCCAGGGGGCGCUCUAUGGAGAAGUGGAGGCUCCAAUGAGGACCAAAGAGUUUCAGUGUAGAGGCCAUGAGUCUGCUCUCCUGGACUGUAGAAGCUCAGGCUCAGAUAGAAACACCUGCUCUCGUAGAAAAGCUGUUGGAUUCACCUGCUCAGAGCCUGUCAGGUUGGUGGGAGGAGCCAGUCGCUGUACAGGAACACUGGAGCUGAAAUAUAAGGGAGAAUGGAGACCAGUGAAUGACUAUUAUUCUGUCCUGACCCUGAAGGAAGCAGCUGCUGCCUGCGGAGAGUUGGACUGUGGCUCUGCUCUUUCUGUAGGAAAGAGAGAGUCCUCACACAGAUCUGUGUGGUUAGUUUUGUCAAGCUGUGUUCAUUCUGGAUCUGCUCAGAGGGGGUGUGCAACAUCAUUUUACUCUUCCUUCAUACAGGAUCUCAUCUGCUCAGACCUGCUGUUUCAUCCCGACAUCUCUGUGUCCUCCUCCAUAGUCGGGGUCUCCGAGGAGGCCCAGCAGCGGGGAUUCCAAGUGUUCUGGCACUCAAACUUCACCAUUAGCUGCUCCAUCCAGCCACAGUACCCAGGAGGCUCCUUCCAGCUCACCUUCACCUCCUCCAACUCAACACACAACUACACCCAGCCAGCUGUCAAUCACUCUGCCCACUUCCUGUUUCUUGCUGCAAAGCCCACCCACCAAGGAAGCUACAGCUGUGUUUAUCACCUCUAUGUUUUCUCUCAUAAUUUCUUCUCUGAGAGCAGUCUGCUCUCUCUCAUCGUCAUAGGUAAGCAGACUGUUUACAGGUUUGGAGAAGAUGAUUGGUCCAAACUGAGUGAAAAUGAUUAGCUGACAACAUGUUUCUGCUUUGACACUGUGACGAAUAUCAUCUUGUGUCAUAUAAUAACCAUACUUUAUACAAAGUGUUUAAAUGGCAACAAUAAACAAACUGAAGGACAGAGCAUGUGUGGUUUCCAGAAUAACUCUGGUUCUCUGAGAACUGAGUGAGGUGUUUCACUAUGAGAAGCACCUUGUUCUGACGUGACCAAUCACAAAGCUCCACUGCCACCACAUCUGUCCUAACAUCCUUUAGCCCCUAACUCGCCAUUUUCAUGUGUAGUUCCUCCACCUGACAGAAACAGCUCCGAUACCUCAAACUUGUUUUAUGCUUCUUGCGGUGAGUGCAGUCAGGGCGGUGUGGACAGUGAUUUUACGGAACUGCAGCCAGGGGAGACGGUGUGGAAAGGCCCUGAUCUGAGCUGUGUACAUUUAAGCUUUUGCAAUAACCCUGACUGGGUCUCACAGAACGGGUUGCAAUAAUUGGCUACAGAAGAACUCCAUUCUUAGAGCCACUCUGACUGCUUUGACCACUUCAGUAUACAUACGGAUGAUGACGGUUCCUGGCAACAUGUGCACUGUCUACAUCACUCUGACCAGGCUGACAGCGAGAAGCAUGAAACCAGUCACUCAGUGCUCAGAGAACCGGGUUAUCAUGGAAAACAUUUUCCAACCUCACUCACUAUCUCACUGUGGGAAAUAUGGUCCACCCCCAAACUGCAGGAGGACCGACACCCUCCUCAUGAGUUAAUACCUGCCCAGGGUGCCCAGCAGCAGCACAAAUACCCCCCACAGAAAUGCUCCUGAGUCCAUGAAGCAGUCAUACCCCUGGAGGCUGUAACUCACAACCUUUAUCAUCCAGCAGGAGAUGCUUCACUCCCCAGAGGAUAGAAAGAUGCUGGCCACAUCCAUCAGAUUCAACACCUUUUAUCAUCAGAGUGGUCGUCCUGCUGCUGACUCUGCUGUUGGUAAACGUUGC